rnacentral:rRNA from 1 species
AGACCCGAAACCCGGUGAUCUAGCCAUGGGCAGGUUGAAGGUUGGGUAACACUAACUGGAGGACCGAACCGACUAAUGUUGAAAAAUUAGCGGAUGACCUGUGGCUGGGGGUGAAAGGCCAAUCAAACCGGGAGAUAGCUGGUUCUCCCCGAAAGCUAUUUAGGUAGCGCCUCGUGAAUUCAUCUCCGGGGGUAGAGCACUGUUUCGGCUAGGGGGCCAUCCCGGCUUACCAACCCGAUGCAAACUGCGAAUACCGGAGAAUGUUAUCACGGGAGACACACGGCGGGUGCUAACGUCCGUCGUGAAGAGGGAAACAACCCAGACCGCCAGCUAAGGUCCCAAAGUCAUGGUUAAGUGGGAAACGAUGUGGGAAGGCCCAGACAGCCAGGAUGUUGGCUUAGAAGCAGCCAUCAUUUAAAGAAAGCGUAAUAGCUCACUGGUCGAGUCGGCCUGCGCGGAAGAUGUAACGGGGCUAAACCAUGCACCGAAGCUGCGGCAGCGAACGUAUCACCCAAGACAACUUUACGGAGUUGACGAUUGACGGAGCGAAGCGACGUCAAAGCGUUCAUUAAAGUCGAGUUGGCUUAGGGAUACGUUCGUUGGGUAGGGGAGCGUUCUGUAAGCCUGUGAAGGUGUGUCGUGAGGCAUGCUGGAGGUAUCAGAAGUGCGAAUGCUGACAUAAGUAACGAUAAAGCGGGUGAAAAGCCCGCUCGCCGGAAGACCAAGGGUUCCUGUCCAACGUUAAUCGGGGCAGGGUGAGUCGACCCCUAAGGCGAGGCCGAAAGGCGUAGUCGAUGGGAAACGGGUUAAUAUUCCCGUACUUGGUGUUACUGCGAAGGGGGGACGGAGAAGGCUAUGUUGGCCGGGCGACGGUUGUCCCGGUUUAAGCGUGUAGGUGUGUGUUCCAGGUAAAUCCGGUUCACUUUAACACUGAGGCGUGACGACGAGGCACUACGGUGCUGAAGCAACAAAUGCCCUGCUUCCAGGAAAAGCCUCUAAGCAUCAGGUAACAUCAAAUCGUACCCCAAACCGACACAGGUGGUCAGGUAGAGAAUACCAAGGCGCUUGAGAGAACUCGGGUGAAGGAACUAGGCAAAAUGGUGCCGUAACUUCGGGAGAAGGCACGCUGACACGUAGGUGAAGUGAUUU